ACUAUUUAUCAUACCGUUCUCAUGCGAUACAGAGUUCGCACAAAUAUCUUCGCUCUAAAUGAGGAUAGUUGAAUUGUUUGAGAAUCCCGCGAGUUAGCCAUUUUGAUAAGUUAUAAAAACACGUUUUUUUUUUGGCAUUUGGGUGUGAUUCAAAUAGUUUGAAAAUGGUGUUUAAUGUAAAUGUAGUGUAUUUAACUAAACAUGAAAAAGCACCUGGGUUGGGCUAUCAGGAUGAAACCAUGUUAAUUAACUGCGGAUCAGUCGCUAAUUACAUCUACGACUGUGUCUAAAGUGAAGUGUGUAAACUGGCAAAUACUGGGACUCAACCCGUAAGGUCUGUCAUACCUGACGUAGCUGCUUUGAGGCACAGGCGCGUCGGAGUGGGUCAUGGUGGUAGGGUCCAGCUCAAACAGCGUUGCGAUCUCCGACGAGUGUGGGACUGACACCAGCUGAAAGGCUGGUUCAUACGGCUCCACUGGCGCUUCACUGGUGAUACAAGAUACUUACAGUGAGGUAUUUAUUGGACUUGACGUGCAGCAGUUGUAGAACGCUGCCGUACUGCACGACAGUCCCCAGCAACUUCUUGUUCUCCAACUCAUUCUGCUUCUUCUCUAUCUCAGCGGCAUGCUGUCAACAGAAAAUGAACUCUAUUUACUUAAGUGUACAGAAGUUUUUAGCGUGACAGUUUAUUUGUUAGAUGACGUGAGAUAGAAGUAUGGAACGCAAGACCCAAAUGGGAAUGGAAUAAGGACAGGAAGAGUUUAAGGAGAGAUUGUACCUCUAUACACUUGUGUGUAGUUUGCAAUAGAAGCGUGUUUGUAGUUUGACAGGUCUAUCUUUAGACUACUUAAGAAUUAUUUUCAAAACAAUCACUGAAAACAAGCUUCAUAACAAACUGCGCACAAAUUACAGUACUGCAUAACAAUUUACAAUACCAAUACGCAAAUAUUAUGUGCUGAAAAUCACUGUUAAAUGGGACCAAAUACCGGGCUUAAUUUCGUCAAUAUCUCGAUGGAAACCGGUUAACCUGAUGAGCUCUCCAGUCAGUAAUCCGUGGGAUUUUAAUUAGUCUUCAUUUGUGGGAGCAAUCACAUCGAAUCCCGGAAUUGGGUCAAAUAGGCCAAUUUGUGUGCGCAUUGUAUACUCUGUUGAAAGGAUUGGUUUAGAAUUGCCUACACAAGGUACCUGCUAUUACCUACAUAGGAAAAGGGAUCUUAGUAGAAAAAAAAACCUAACAUGGAUAAAAAGCUAUAUUGCCGUGUAUAUUUUUUAUCAGAGAAAAUCACGUAAGGCAAAGUAAUGAAGAACAUUUUGGAUGUUGUAGUGUGGACUAAUGAACAUGAACAGUUUACUGACAACCAGACUGAAAUAAACAAUCAAAAUGAUACUGAAAUUCCAUUUUGUAGUAGUAAAUAGACAGGUUUUUGCCUACGGAAUGUACGUUAGCUUUAAAAAAAUACUUCAAUGUCUCUCAUAAAAAUAUAAGGAAAAAAAUACAAAGUUGUAAAAUUAGAAAACUUUCGGAAGAAAUUAAUUAUUUAAAUCUACUGUAUAAUUAAUUUAAAAGUCCAUUAAAAUAAAAUAACAGCAUAACAUAAAAAUUCUCCUGUCACAUAACACGAAAUCCUACAAAAUGAAUAUCUGUUAAAAUCCCGGAAGAUUCAUCAACUGUUUGAUAAACGAUAAUAUUAAAAUAACCACAUUAAAGACUAUAUUCGUUUGCUCCAUUUGAUAUACGAUUAUAGGCCUUAUUUAUGAGGCCAUAAACACCACAUAUUGUCAAUAAACGGAAGGAUGUAUCUUCAAAAUGGUAAUAUUAACGCAUUUGAUAGUCCCUGAAGUAUGCAAUACCUAUUAAAGCCGUAAAACAUUAAUAUAAUGUGUAAUGACCAUUGAAACUAAUGCUUAUUAAAAAAAAACUAAUGUGGCGGAUAUAUUAAAUCUCUUUUAAUUAAAUAAUGCUAUUAUAUUUUGUGCACUUGGAGAGGCGUAUGUCCAGCAGUGGACUGCGAUAGGCUGAUGAUGAUGAUGAUGAUAAUGAUGAUUAUAUUUUGUUAACCUUCCUAUCUUAGAGCAUUUAACGAGCCGGAGACGCCAAUGCCUCACCUCCCGCUCUACCAAAGAUAUGAGACCACCGGUGGCUGUGUGCGUCAAGUUAGCUUGUGGCUCCAGGCGGUUGGAUGCUCUAAGUUCCAUAUUUAUUCAAUUUUAUGGUUUAUUUUGCAACAUAUCAAAGUUAAGGAAUAGUGGUGACAGUUGAAUGGGAUUUUAACAGGAAAUUAGUCACAUUAACCCGUUUAGAACGAUUUAUUUUAAUAUCUUCUUUUUAUUUAGGUAUGGUUAUUUCAAACUGGAUCGUAGCUUUCGGUGACUAAGAUAUAUUUAAAACAUUUGUCUUUAUAAAAGCGUGUAUUUUAAGCGUGAGCAUUUUUUCCUCAUGCUAAUAUUAUUUUUUAGAUGAAAUCGCAGUCAUAAAACUUUAUUAUGAUAAGAAAACCGAUAAAGGGAAUCUGGGUCUUUACCAUUUUUUUCCUCCUUUGAAACACCUUAGUAUUAAAUGUUAUUUAAAAGUUAAAAUUUUUAGUAAAUUACACCGAGUUUAUCUUAUUAUUAUUCAACUUCUAUAUCCUAUAAAUAACCUUCCUAGAACGUGGCAGUAAUUUAAUUUAGUCCUAAGUAGUGCAAACCCUUUAAACUGGAAAUUGGCAAUAUCUGGCGACCGACCCCUUUCAUAUUGAGCUCUCCUGGUACUUCAUUAAAUUAGCCCUAAUAUCAAGUAAAAUGGACAAGUCCUUUCAGUCCUUUGUGGGGCAGUAAAUCAAGGGUAAAUAGCAUUUAUUUCAUCUAUAAAUGAAUCCUCUAAGUAUUUUUUGGUAAAAGUUAAUUGAUAAAUACUUGUGAGAGGAUAAGGUUUAAGACCAAUUCAAUUAAUAUUCUCGUACCUACGUCAAUUCCAACACUUACACCACUAAAUUGUUUGAAAACGUAACCUUUCUUGGCAUUCUGUUAACAAUUCAACAGUAAGAAUUCGCAGCAACCCUAAAUUGAACGAAUAACUACAAUAACAGGAAUUUGGAUCACAUUACAUAUAAUAAAGUCCCCUAUUCACGGUACGCAAGUCGCAAUCCGACAUUUGGCACAAAGUGUACAAUAAACGGUUCAUAAAACGCAAUGCGGCUAUUCCGUCGCUAUUUGUGUGGGUCCGUAAUAAUUCGGAAUUUAUCGACAUAUUUACCACUCUAUAAAAGUGUAUGAAAUCUAAAUCGAGGAAUAUUUUGACGAGCUGUAUGUUUAUGGGUAAUCGUUAUUAUUUAGAGCCGUGUUUAAGAUUUAUAGCUUCGGUUUUGGUCUUAUAUAGUGAAGCGAUA
rnacentral:lncRNA from 1 species